UACGUAGGGAGCGAGCGUUGUCCGGAUUUACUGGGUGUAAAGGGUGCGCAGGCGGCUCUGCAAGUCAGGCGUGAAAGCUAGGGGCUCAACCCCUAAACUGCGCUUGAAACUGUGGAGCUUGAGUGGAGUAGAGGCAGGCGGAAUUCCCGGUGUAGCGGUGAAAUGCGUAGAGAUCGGGAGGAACACCAGUGGCGAAGGCGGCCUGCUGGGCUUUAACUGACGCUCAGGCACGAAAGCAUGGGUAGCAGACAGG
rnacentral:rRNA from 1 species